UACGUAGGGGGCAAGCGUUGUCCGGAAUCAUUGGGCGCAAAGAGCGUGUAGGCGGUCCGAUAAGUCCGCUCUGAAAGCCCGGGGCUCAACCCCGGGAGGCGGGCGGAUACUGUCGGGCUAGAGUCCGGAAGAGGCAAGUGGAAUUCCUGGUGUAGCGGUGAAAUGCGCAGAUAUCAGGAGGAACACCGAUGGCGAAGGCAGCUUGCUGGGACGGUACUGACGCUGAGACGCGAAAGCGUGGGGAGCAAACAGG
rnacentral:rRNA from 1 species